GAUCAAUCUGUGAGUGCAAGAAUAUAGGAUUACAAGUCGGUUGGAUUCGCGACGACGAAGAGCAUCGCCCGAACAUUUGUAUUCUUCAACGCGACCGAAUUCUAUCUGCGUCAAGUCUCACAGAAGCGAGCUGUCCGCGAAGCAUCGGCGCAGUAUCUCGCAGCCGCCGCUUCUCGGCACUUCCUCGAGUUACCGUGCGUUGCUUCGUGAUGCGAAAGAGUCGCGUAAUAGAAUCUAACCUGUACUUUGGCAGGCUUUCCGAUCGUCCCUUUCGACGUGGUAUCUAAAAUUGACGAGCAUUUAUGUACACCGCACUUGACGACGUCCGUCUUAAGCGGUUGCAGCCUCCCGAUGUAUCUCGUAAGCAUUUCCAAGGGCGGUCGACUUCCAACAAUUGGCUCCCGGAAAAAAUGCUUACUUGCACAAGAAAA